CAUCACUGCUGAUUAUGACAGGCGUGCAGCGGCACACAUUGACAUAGACCACUGUUGCAAUCAACGACACAGUCGCUAUCCAAGUAGCAUUAUAGAGCUGUCAUGCAACGCAACAACUGUGCUAUCUGCCAUCGCACAUCAACGAAGAAGUGCAGCCGCCCACAUUCCACCUCACGUCUGUCCGACCAGCUGCAAUCCUCGAGGACGCCCCACUGUACCACGAUUUCACUACGAUGUUUGACAAGAAGGAGCAGCGCGCGAGAUAGGCUAAUGAGCAGACUUCCCUCGCUUGAGUUUCAGAAGAAUGUUCCAUAUCGCGCUAAGCUGACCACUGCUGACCAUGACAGGCGUGCAUUGGACUGGUACAGGUUGGAACUGAACAUUGAAUAUGCUGGUGGUGACGCUUUCUGAUGAGAAGUUGGUCGUGACUGAUGCAGUAUCCUUGGACUUGUCCACAGCAUCGUUCAAUCAUUGCUCUCUGAGCUGCCUUGAUUCUGCCUUGAUUCUGUACCCAAAUACUAAGACCAAAUGCCUGUUGACUGUGCUUUAAGAGAGACUGGCGCCAUGCCUAGAGAUAUGACUGACCCCUAUUGGCAAAUUUGUAUGACUUUAUCUUGCCUACCUAGCUGCUGCCUAUAGUCUCCCUUUAACUGCGGAACACUUCAAAGUCGAUAAAAUGCCAUGUUCCACCUUUUAAUGUGUUCAGACUGCCAUUUUCAAAAUAAUCAAGUCAGGACACUGCC